UUUCCGUAGGUGAACCUGCGGAAGGAUCAUUAAUGAGUUGUCAUGGGGUUCGAUGCUGGCAGCCAGUUUUUGGAUGCAUGUGCUUGCCCUAACAAUCAUCUUCUUCCAAACAUCUGUGCACAUUUUUGAGGGAGUCUUGAGUUGGUUGCCGCUCUUGGGUGAUUUUCUCACAUUCCCUUAAAUCAUUAUACGCUAUUAACAAUGUUGAACGUGCUCUGUGCCGCAAGGCCAUUAAUAUAAUACAACUUUUAACAACGGAUCUCUUGGCUCUC
rnacentral:misc_RNA from 1 species